UGCUUCAAGUUCUAGCUCAAAUGGUACC
rnacentral:piRNA from 1 species